AGGAUAAAUUAAGGCAAGUUAUACUUCUAAUACUGCAGUGUUAUUAGUAAACUUCAUCUCUAGAUUUCUGAUAAUUACUUUGUUCUCUUCCUCUGUUAAUCUUCUGAUGAAUGUAACAAUGUAGGAUCAAAAACAUCCGGUGGAGGAAAGCCUCUUCAUUGGACAUCCUGCCUCAAAAUCGCCAAGAUCUCGCGACCGCCCUACUCUACAUCCACCAAAACCCUGGCUUAACUCAUGGAAACCUUAAAUCUUCUAAUGUCUUGCUGGGUUCGGACUUCGAAUCCUGUCUUACUGAUUAUGGGCUCACCAUGCUCCUUAACCCUGACUCAAUGGAUGCUCAACAACACUAAAAUUGGGUGUAAUGCUUGUUGGGUGGGGUGGAAACAAUGGCAUCAAACUCACUGGUGGCGUUAUUGCAAAUCGAUAGUUAGUUUCAUUUCCCAGCAGUUUUUUGUUUUAUUUUUUUAUGAUUAUUGAGAAAUAAUGGUGUGGAAAUUGUGUGUAUUGUGUUCAGGGGAAUUUCAUGGGCAACGAAGGACAAGAUCCAACAAGCGAAUCACUUUGGGUCUCUGACUCAAGCCUCUGCUAUCAGAGUGGGAUCUUACCAAGGAGAGGAAAUUUAUGCCCCAUUCAAGAGCCUCCUCCCUCUGAGGAUCAUGAAAUUCUUUAGAAGCAUCAAGACUGAAAAACUGGCUUAGCAAAAGUUCGAAGGUCUAGAAAGCUUUCGGUAUUGUUUAUAUGCAUGGUGGCUAACUAUAAGCAUGCAUUUUUUUUGGCAUUUUUAUCAGGACGGAAAGAUUGAAGCCAAAUAGUUAAGCUUAUUGGAAUUCCCAGCUUAGGAGCAAUAAUGCCUGGAGAGCUUCGAAAAUAUGGAACCAUGAUUGCUCCAAGUCUAUAUGCUCCAGUUCAUCAACACUUCUUUGUUGCUCGCAUGGACAUGGCUGUUGAUUCUAAACCUAGUGAAGCUUUGGCCUUCCCUCGAGUCUAAAGAUGCUAAGUUUACCACUUUGUAGCAUAAUAUUUCAGUUUCAAGUUAACAUUGUUACUCUGUUAAUGUGUUUGGUGACUAUAAUGUUC